GUGUGCAGGGGUCGGAGUGUGUGUGCGUGUUGGGGGGGGGGUGUCCGUGUUUGUGAUCUGAACCUUUGGUACCUACAAGGAGGGUGUCUCACCGAACGGUAGCUAAAACCUCACCAGGACCGCACGGAACUGUGGAGACACAGCCGAAGGCGCCGCUGGAGCUUCAUGAAUCUGGGCCAGACCCCAGACCCAGCGUUGCAAGGAUCCCCCCGCCCGGAUCACAGCAUGAGCUCGCAUCAGGGUCCUGUCUCCACUGUGGUUAUCCGUCUAAACUCCCUUCUCUUCAGGCAUCGCAUCUAAGCUGCAACCUGGGCCCGGAAGUGAGGAAUAUACUUCGGUCUGCACUAGUGCUAAAACCACGGACAGCAGUGAUGUCAAGUCUUGAGGUUACGGUGUGAAUCACGAGUUUUUCGCUGAUGGAGAUUGAUGGAUUGGUGGAAGCGCUGGUGACACAGAAUCUGUUUCUAAGAAGAUGUGGUUUCGUAAUGGAGAGCUACAUAAUGUGACCAAAUUUGGGGCACACAGCAGCGUUCCACAGUUAUCGCUCUUCAUUUCCUGGAUGUAAUACAUCAGAAGAAAAUUCUGCAGUCCAUCCUCAUCGAGGGUUGAUGUGAUACAAUGCAAGUCUUGCUUUGGUUAUAAAUGAAGAUUAAUAAAAGAUAACACUGGGAUGCUGUGUUCAGAUAUGUUAUAUCUGAAACUCCAGUUUCUUAAACUGUGGGUGGCAGCCUUAUUUGGGGUUCCAUAACUCAAAGCGGGAGUCACAAAAAUGUUCUCAAAUGUAAAUGUUUCUAAAUGCACAAUGACAAGAAAAUGAAUGCAAAAUAAGACAUAAAAAAAAUCUUAGCUUUCUGGAAGUGCUCACCCACAUUGCAUUUUGUAAAUUCAUUGUGCCUUUAACUCUCAACAAAUAAUGUGCACUUAUACUGUGCCUGUUGUCACACUGCCUACACCUAUGAGCACUGAACACCAUAGCUCGGAUUGCUGAGUUAUUGCACUGUUUCAUUGUACAUACGAUGUUUUCUGCUUUCCCAGAAAUAUGGUGGUUUAAUUAUGGAAAACAAAGAUCAUUAUUAUUUUUCUGCCAUCAUUUCUUAGCCUGUAUCAAAUUAAUAUACCUUGCAUUAUCUGUGUUGGAAUGUUUGAUUUGAGACUGCUCAUUGAUUUACUGACUUGAGUUUCAUAAAAAAAAAAAUUGUUGAAGAGAAUUUCAUUUUUUGAUUAGGACAGUCCUUCCAAUAAUUUCUGAGGUGGUCCUGAACAUACUUCUGCCAUUUCAUGUUUAUUCAGAGUGGUGUUCUCUACAUUAAAGAUUGUUGAGCAACUCUGAUAAAAAAAAAUCUGCAUCCUAGAGUACCACAUACACAGCCAAGGUAACUUUAUGCAAAAAAACAUAAGCACAUCAUCUUAUUAAUGUAUACAUUUGCUUUCAUUUUAAAUGAAUCAUCAAAUUACAUAGAUGCCAAAGAAUUCUUUUAAGAAAAUUCUUGGUGAUUUAUUGUCUGUAAAUGUUUUGUGUGUAUGCCUAUUUUAUAUACCUUCAUAAGCAACAUUGUGUAAAUGUUUGUUGGGUGAAUAGGGGUCGCAAGAACAAAGUUUAAGCAGCCCUGCACUAGAUCAAGGUGACACAUUCCACUCUCUGUGUAGAGCUUUCUUUUAUAAGCGUGUGUCAUAGAAGUCCUCUCAAGUGUCAUUAUUGGUUGUGCUGGCUUUUAUGUCUUGUUUUCUUUUGGGAGGCCUGUGUUUCCUCAGGGAUGGCGCAGUUUUCUGAGGUUCUUAAGAGUAUAAUGGAAUUGCAGCCUUGCAAAGGCCCCCAUUGUCACCAGAUUGCUUUACUGUUUGAUGAUUCUUUCUUCCUCCUCUUCAUGUUGUCUAGUGCCCACAUUCUGGUUCUUUCACGCACCAUGCAAAUAAAAGUAGUAAAUGUAAUUUCUAUUCUUACUGGAGACCAUGCACAAAUAGGCUGACUAACCCAGAGAAUUUGUUUACAAUCAUGUCCGGCCUAAUGAUGACGAUGCAGCCCAGUGACCAUCAUUCACUUACUCAUUUUGGCAUUGAUUUUUCUUAUGCCUUUUUUUCAUGGCAUUUAAAAAAGCUCUCACAGUCUAUAGAGGAGGAAUGCUGCACAAUCACAGAGAUACUUUGAUUCCCAGAUUCAUCAUAUUGUCAAAAGGAAAUCGAGUUGUCAGUAUACAAAAAGCCACACCUACUUUUAACUGAAACUAUUGGCUUCAUGUAAAUGCUAUAGUGAAACCUUUUUCAUGGAAAUCCACUUUUAAAUGUUUAUAUACUUUAAGCAAAGGUUAGCAAUGUUCUGUAUCAAGAAUAUGAUUUUCCCCAAACAACUUUUCUAUAAAAGCUAAAUUCUCAGUGAGGAAAGCAUAAAAUAAACAUAAUGUCAAGGUUUCACCUUAAAACUGGAAAUAAUGUAUAAGAUUUGAGAAAAGUACAUUUGUCUACAAUUGAGGUUGUUUUGAGAUAAACCUAUUUGUAACAAAGAUCAAAAUUAUUUAUUCAUAUCUUCAAUAUCAUCCAGCCAAAUGCUACUUAAUGUCUUCUAAUGUCUAUUUCAUUUUCACUCAAGUAGAGGCAGAUAUGCUUUCCCCCUCCAAAAAACCAUGGUAACCCAAUUUUCCUCUGUCUCUGCUCAGCACUUCCCCAUUUUUGUGAGCUGUGAUUCUUCAUAUUUUUAGUUUAGUUUUAUGAAAACUUCCAGAAAUGGCAUUUUAAAAAUUAUACUGCCCGUUUAACUUCACCUCCACCAAUUGUAAAAAAAUUGCAAAGUGAACACUAUGGAAAAACUAAAAGCACAGUGAUCACUAGAUUUGGCUCUAUAAACAUUAGUAAUAUGUGUAAAAACAUCAGAGCAUUUAUUACAUCUCCUCUGCAAUAUAUUUUUUCCUGUCUCUGAAAACAGGCUUUAUAUAGUCCCAUUUUUAAUGUCUUAUUUAAUAGAGAUUGCAUAAUACCUUAAAAGACAUUCUUAUUUGAAUUAUUAUUGCUCUAAAGUUAUUUCUGAAGUCUGUCUUCCAUUCUCUUUUAUUCAACUGCAGAUUUUGGACUGUCUUAAAAAUUAAAAUUUCUUAUAAGUUAUCUCAUAUAUCAUUGUAGUUGAUCUCAAGAUUUCAUCUUUCCUAAGUGCAUAAUUUAAAUUUACAGACAACCAAGAUUUCCUUUAACUCUUCCUCUUUGAAAGAAUGAUGUGGAGGCUCUCACUUAAAUAUUGCAUCUUUGGUGUCUAAAACACUCAUCAAAAUGACCAUGCCCUGAGUAGAGCUGUUGAUUUUCCUCUUUUAAUCCAAUCCCAAAAUAGAAAGGUGCAUAUUGUCCAUCCAUUAACCCUUCCUUUUCCUCUGCCGUAUCACAUAUUUAAUCUCAUAUAAAUCCUAGAGUUUGUAAAUCUGAAAUGUAAUCUGAAUCCAUCCAUAUAUUUUACCCUGCUGACAGCACUCUUAUUCCUUGCCUGCCUUUCCUAACCCUUUCCUUCCUUCCCACACUGCUUCUAAGUUAUUUUUCACAAAGCAGCCUGAGUGCUCUUUUGAACAUGGAAUCAGAUCAUGUCACUACCCAUGUGAACUCUCACAGGGCUUUCUGAUUCCACCUAAAGUAAAAUCCAAAUUACCUGGUUUACGAAGUCUGGCUGUCAUUGCAAUCUCGCGUGAUGUCCAUUCACAUUCUCCCCAGCCACCCUGGCACCCCGCUAGCACUGGACAGUGUUAUAGCGCAGACAUAGGGUUUUCCCUUUUCUAUGAAGAAUGAGCAUUUUGACAUCAAGUUCUUUUAACCUCCCCUCCCUUGUGUCUAAUUCUCUACAUUUCACAGGGCUAGAUUUUCCUUCUUUGAGUCAUAGCUUGAAUGACCAUUAUUUUGGGUCUUUCCCAAAAUACUAAACCAAAAGGUGACCUUUCUUUGAAUAUAUAAAUCAUUCUUUAUAAUGCCCAUUCAAACAUACAACUAACUUAUGCAAUUUAGCAAUUUCUUGUUUAUUAGUAUGCUCUUAACAGAGUAUCAGCUUCAACACAGUCGUUGGCCAUUUCUCUAAGGAUUGUUGCUUACUUUUAGUGAGAAGAGAUUCUUAGAAACCAAGAUAUGGAUGCUAAAUAGGCACGCCCUGCAGGGAGCUACUGCUCCUUUCCCUCACAGUGGGCAGAACCUCAAUCUACCAGCACACAUCUCUUAACAUGUCAUACAUUUAAAUUUCUCUCUGCUGUUAUUAAAAACUGUGACCUAUAAGCUUGAUGUGGUGGCUUACACUGAUCAUUCAGCACCUGGGAUGUGGGGAAAGGAGGAUUAGGAGCUCAAAGCCAUCCUUAACUACAGAAGUCCCAAUCUCAAAACAGAACAAACAAACCAAAACACAGCAAAGACAAUGGUUCAUAUUCUUUCAGAAAUAUAUCACAGAGUGAAGAAAUAUUCUGUGUUAAAGGAAACAAUGAAAAUUUGUGUCUCAAGACAAAGUGUCAUUCACACAAAGAUUUUUGGUUGGGAAAAAGGUAGAAUUUUUAUCAGUAUUGUGAUAGAUAUGUAGUUUCAAUAUAGGCAGAGCUGACUCACACUGACUGUGGAUUGUGGUUUAGGUAAGAACAUUGAAUAGAUGUCAGUGUCUUCCCUAUGAUUGUUGUGCUGAGGUUUCUCUCUUGAGGGUUUCCUUCUCAGGAACCUAAGUCUUUGGAAUAAAAUGUCCUCAUUAUCUGUAUCUACACUUUAGUGCAUCUCUCUCACACACUAACCAACUCUUGCUUAUCACUGAAAGAAAGAGAAUAAAUCAUUACCAAACAGAACAAGCUACAAAUAACUGAGUAACACUAAAAGGAUACAGCUGCUAUAUGCUCUACAUCUUUCUCAUUUUAUACACAAAGUACAAAACUUAACACAAAGUCUUUAAAAUAGGCAUGUUUCUCUCCAUGGUCUUCCCUUGCACAGUGAACAUGUAAACUGCAUUUUUUUCUUUUUUCAAGUAAAAAGUAAGUAACUUCAAGAAAUAGCAAAUGGUCUCUGUCCAUGUUACCCUGAUACAGAAGCUGAGCAGGGUUGCCUUGGUUGGUACUUGGGAGAAACAACCUUGUGUACAGUGUGCAGAGGCAGACAUUUUGCAAAGCACUGAUGGUAUCAAUGUUCCUUUCCCUUUCAUAAAUUUUAUAACUACAUUAUCUGAUCACUAUUAGUCCACUAGGUGCAAAGCUGCACAGUAGAAAAUUAUGGCUUAGGAUAUUUUUUUCCAUCCUAAACGAGUUAUAUUUGCCUCAAGCAAGUUUCAAGAUGAUUCUAGUCAAGUGACUUAGCAAAUUCUUAAGCUAUCAUCUUUCCUGCCCAACCCUUUCUGUUAUCUUGUCUCCAAUUACUUCACCCAUAUGAUUACAAAGCUAAGAUUUCUAUGGACUAUCUGUAUCGAAGGAUCAGGGCACAGAAUGAUAAACCUCUUAACAUAAACUUAAUUCUGAUUCUUUCCCCAGAUUAAAGUAUCUUAGCAACCUGUGAAGUGUGGUAUCUGCUGAUCCUGUGCUUCUGAGCCCUUUGGUGACCCCUUGAACUGACCUUAUACCUGUGUGUUUUCCUUUUGUUGGCUUUGUUGGUUAGGGUUACAUAAAAUGAGAUGAGCAAACAUAUAGUGGUGUGAUGACACAUACUUAAGUGUGCUUGGCCUUUAACAGCAAAAUUGGCUGAUUAUAAACUUACAGACCGAUUUCUUUAUUCCUGUGCUUUGUCUCUUGGGAAUUCCAGGGCUUGCUUGGCUACAUGGGGGAUGGAGCUGAGCAAUAUGAGUUUGUUUUUAGCUAGAUGAGGUUUAAGAUGAAAGAAGAGCCAAAGGGGUCUUGGCCAGUGACACAAAGGCUCUGGUUUCCUUGACAUGACCAUUGUUUCUGUUGCUUUCAGGAUGGAUGACUAAUCUAAAGACAACAUCAGACAAUUAGAAAAAAAAAGAUAAAAAUCAAAGUACCACUCUCCAUCCAAUCGAGAAAUAAACUUUUACACAUUUCAAACCUUUUCUUUACUUUGGUUUUGUGUGAUGGGCCACUGAAUCUCAGUCUCCUUGCUUGAAUCCUCCUCAUCUUCUUGACUAAAUGGGCUGCUGCAGGUUCAGUCCUUAAAACUAUGCUUUUUCAUUGAUUCACUGGAGCUGAAUGUCUUCCUAUGGCCAGAAAUAUUAUCUAUUUUUAUUAUGGUUACUUAUUAUUAUCGUUGCUGUGGGUAUGCUAAUACACUAAAGCUUGACUAUGGAGGUCAAAAGACAGCUCCAGGCCAGCGGCUCCCCGUUUCACCUCAGACUCUGAAGAUCAAACUCAGGUCCUCAAGCUUUCACAGCCAGGCUUUUUACUCACCGCCCAUCUGGCUGGUCCUCAUCUAUCCUUUCAAUAUUCCUUUUUCUUCUUCUGUAGUCUAGACCACUGCAUACUUGGAUUCAAGACUCUAUUCAGAGACACUGUAGUCUCCAGACAGAGAUAUAUAACCAUCACUCAAACCUUCAAACGUUCAAAAGUUUAACUCUUAAAAAUCUGUGAUUUCAUCCAGAGAAACCCAGCUUCAGUAUAGGACUUCUCUAUUCUUCCCAUCACUAUGGAAUAAUUUUGGACUAUUCUUUCUCUUCAGCACAGCUGUUCCAAAUCAUUGACCGGGAAGGAUCACAUGCUUUCCCAUGACUUGAAAUAUCAUCUAUUCUUGAAAUAAUAUUUUCAAAAUAAAGUAAAAUAAAAAAAACCUUCCAAUUUUCAUCAUCGUCAUCAUUAUCACUCUAGUCUAAAUACAAGAUAUCACAUCAGAAUUACAGUUAUACCCUCCCGUAUUCACACAAGAAUCCAUGUUUCAAGCUCAGGAGUGAAGAGCUGAAACUACAGAUAGUACUGGAACCAUAUAACUAAAUAUUUUUUUCAUUUAACAGACAGCAAACUUUUUUUAAAAAUCAUGAAUAAAGGCAAAUUCAGCAUGAGAUUCCCCCCCCCUUUUCCUUAUUCAGUUCAGACUUCUCAUGCUUUCACAGAAUGGAAGGACUUUACAACUUUACCUCUAAUGGUACAAAAUGCUCACCCCACUGCUCAGGCUUUGGUGCCAUCAUGAAGACCUUGAAGACAAGUGGUGCUGUAUGAUUCCAGUGGAUGUGAACUCUGAGAUGGUUUCUACCUGACUAACUUAUGGACAAGGUACAUCUUUGGUCUAGGUAUACUUGACAAAGAAGAGUCACUCUGGUGCCCAGAAUUUAAAGCAUGAACUGUUUAUCAAUAAAAUUUCACAGCCAGGCUUUUUACAGAUUGUGGUUAUGAGAUUGUGGUUACAUGCAGUACCAAAACUAAGGCACUCAAAGCUGCCAGUAAGAAGGGGUUAUUUUAUGGCAAUAGCUAUGUAUUUAUUGCCUCCAUGCCACUCCAUUCUUCUCAAAUCACAUUGCAAGUCCAGUUGCCUUUGUAUUUUUAUUGUUUGGAAAUUUCAUACAUGUACAAAAUAUGUUUUGAUCAAAUCCAGGAAGCCCAUUCCCUCCCCUCAAAUUCCUCUUCUGUCACAGAUCAGUCCUUUCCCCUCCCAACUUCAUUUGCUUUUAAAAAUAAACAACUAAUUGCAUUCACUUAGUGUUGCCUGCAUGUGCACUGGUUUAGGACCAUCUGUGGAGCAUGGCUAGCCUCUGGAGGGCUGUAUCCCUGAAGAAAACGGACUCCUCCUCUCCUAGUGGGCAUCAAUUGCCAAUAGCUACUCAGUUAGCAAGGGACAUCAUGAACCUUGCUGAAGAUCUUGCCUGGUUUGAGAUUGUGCAGGUCUUGUGGAUGCAAUCACAACUGUUUUGAGUUCAUGUGUGCAAAGGCCCAGUCAUGUCCCACAAAUACUGUUUCCAUGAAGACAUGUAUUAUCUUUGGCCAUUUCAGCCCUCCCACCCCUCUCCCAUAGAAAUCCUUGUGCCUUCCAGGGACUGGGUGUGUUAGAUGUUCUUUUAGAGUUGAGCACUGCACAUUCUCUUAUUCACUUUGGGUUAACUAGCUGGGUCUCUGCACUAAUUGCCGUCUACUGCAACCAUCCUUUAAAACUACAGUUUAAAUCAUGCAAUUCCUUUGCUCUACCUCCUCAAUGGCUGGUUAUGUCUCCUGCUUGAAACACCUACCCAGUACUGGUCCUCACCCCUUUAUACAUCUUAUUCCACAUUCACUGCUCUGUCAGACACCCCAUUUGCUGGUUAUUAGACAAACGAAACAGAAUUUGAUCAGAGCACUUUAGAAUUUACUGUUUCUCAGCCUUCACUGGACUCUGCUUCUUUGGCUUAUGGACAGAUAGCAGCUUUCCAGAACAUCCCACCACGAACUCUUAUCUAAAGCGGCUGUCCAGUUACUGGUCACCACCCACUCCAUUUCCUGUCAAUUCUUUGUUCUUAGCACUCAUCCUGCAGUUUUCUUGUUCAUCAUUUCUCUGAUAGUACCUAGGGCAGCAAUGCCAUUGGUACUUUCCUCUGUGUGAAGGACAGUUUCAGGUGUCCUUCAUAUGAUUAAAAACUACUCGUUGAAUAAAAUAAUUGUAUAUCACUAUGUGACAGGACAGUAAUAAAACUUUGAGGUGUUCAUACACUACAAUUCAUAAUUUAAAUAAGUUCUGAGAUUA